CCCCCCCCUUUUGCCGAGAUCGAAGCCCCUCAGGGCAGAAGAUACCACCUUAGAGCAGGGAAAGAAUACAGUAAAGAUACAGGCUGAGCGCCGUGUGACGGUCCAUGCACAGGUAGAAGGAUGAAGACCGGACCGGAGGACCGAUAAGCUGUAGUGGCGCUCCGGGGGAAUGCAGGAAGAACUGCAUGACAGAGAUAAGCCACACCCCCUCUUCUCCCCCUCCUGGAGGACGCAGGUCUGCAUGAGAGCAAGAAGCUCCUACACAGCUCCUCAUCUCCCCUCCCCCUGCUUUGUCUUCUGAGGAC